rnacentral:rRNA from 1 species
GAUCAUGGCUCAGGAUGAACGCUAGCUACAGGCUUAACACAUGCAAGUCGAGGGGCAUCAGGGUGUAGCAAUACACCACUGGCGACCGGCGCACGGGUGAGUAACACGUAUCCAACCUGCCCUUUACUCGGGGGAUAGCCUUUCGAAAGAAAGAUUAAUACCCGAUGGUAUAACAUGACCUCCUGGUUUUGUUAUUAAAGAAUUUCGGUAGAGGAUGGGGAUGCGUUCCAUUAGGCAGUUGGCGGGGUAACGG